rnacentral:rRNA from 1 species
AUGCACAACCCUCACACUAUGGCUAAAGCACAGCAUGAAGUACGCGAUGUGUUGGGUGAAAGCCGAUCUGUCAUUACUAAUAGUGAGCUUGGUGAACUCCACUAUAUGCGGAUGAUCAUCAAGGAGGCUCUUAGGUUGCAUCCACCUGGUCCUCUGAUUCCCUGUAUGGCCAGAGAAGACUGUACAGUUAAGGGUUAUGAUAUCCCUAAAGGCACUAAUGUAUAUAUUAAUAUUUUCGCAAUUUCUCGGGAUCCUAGAUAUUGGAUCAAUCCUGAAGAGUUCAUGCCAGAGAGAUUUGAGAACAACAAUGUGAACUACAAAGGGGCUUACUUUCAGUUCAUUCCCUUCAGGGCUGGGAGACGGCAAUGCCCGGGGAUUCAGUUUAGCUCAUCAAUCACUGAGAUGGCAUUAGCAAACCUUUUUUAUCACUUCCAUUAG